CGGCAUCGCUUCCCGCUCUGGCCGGCCGGCGGCAGCCGCCGCCCCGGGACCAGCCCCACCGCGGGCACGGCGGAGCGGAACUGAUAAAUGAACAAGUGAAAGCUGUCAUUCAACCUGCAUACCACAGAAAGUAACUAUCUAGAAAGUGUACUAAGCAUUCCCUGGAACUUUAUGAAUACACAGAUGAUGAGGUGCUGUAACUGGAGACAAUGUUGACAACAUCUAAAAAGUCCACAAGUUUUGCCUCUUUCCUCCAAUUCCUAUUGCCAUCCCACCAUGGGGACGGGUGUGAGGGAACAGCUGCAUGGUACUUAGUUGACAGCUAGGGUUAAACCAUUACACCUGGUUUACACAUGUUGCACCUGCUUAACUGAAAUUAUCUCAUCACAGAAAGAUCAAGUGCAUGCUGCAGACAUGGUGUUGGUUCAUCAGUGAACCUAGUGCAGGCAGACAGAGCCAGAAGCUUGCAGAAAAUGAACUUGGAAGAUAGGUUCCUUUGACUGUAACAAAGGCAAAGUGAAACAGAACAUUCAGGGUAUUCUGAAAUAUUAGAAAUAGGUUUAAAUAAAUUGUAUGCAUAUUCAUCCCUCCAGAAUUAGUAAAAAAUUUGCAGUGUAAACUCUGACUUCUAGAAAUAUUCAGGGGAAAAAAAAAUCAAAACAGGAAAUAAGAAUAUCUGGGAAAAAAGAAAAAAGGCAAAUAAUCCAGGAAUGUAACAAUUAGUGCUAGUAACCCAUAAAAAUGCAUAUAAAGGCAUCCACUCAGUCGUUAUUGGAGUAAAAACAUUUAUCUCUAGGACAUGCCAUACUGUUUCAAAUAAUCAAAACUGUCCAGAGAAUUUUGAAUGCUAAAUGAGGUCCACUUCAACCAAUGUAGAGGAUAAAUACCUCACCACUGCUAUCUGGGUGACAAGAUAUAUGGCAUGAGCAGUUUCAUGGAAUUCCUCAACAAUUUUUUCAACAAUAACAAAAAAUCUAAGUCAAUCAAAUAACUUACUCUUCUUCGGAUCUCAUCUCCAUGCCCCAGUUCUGCAAAAUGUAUAAUCAUUGUUUAAAUCUGACCCACAUACUAAGACUCAGCUUUAAUCUGUGCAAAAGCCACCCCAAGAAAGACAGAUCAAAAAGUUGUGCUGAAGCUGUUCUGAGCAGAAGCAGGUGCUGAGUCAGUGGUGGUGAUUCUAUUUUCACUCUUUGUUUCUCCUGCCUCUUACUGCCCUAAUGAUGCUGUGUGUUGUUCACAGCCUGGGAGGUUCAGAGGAUAGCUCUUUUUGAAAACACUCUGUGACAGAGACUUUCAGAUGCUAUUGCUAGAGGACAUGUGAAAAUGCUAUUCAUGCAAAUAAUUAGCCUUGUGCUUCCUGAAGCCUUCUCUCACAGCUGGCCUCUGGGGGAGCAGAGGGGCAUGAAUAUGAAAUAGUUGAUAGAAGUAUUGGGUCAACUAUAAUAACAUGACUAAUUUUACCUGGAAGAUAAUUUCUUUCACAGCUUUCAUGCAUUUCAGAGAAUACUACCAUUUGGCCUCUAGUGGCUUUGGGAAUAUUUUAUUCUCAAUUUCCUAUUAUUCUGGAUCUCUCCCAGAUGAAGAAAUAUCUUUCCGUAGUAAAGACAUGGGCACAUUCAUUUGCACCUGUACUGCUUGUUUUACAGCCAGUUAGACUGGCUGCGUGAUACGACAUAGGAAAAAUAACGAAAAUGAGAUAACAUAAGAUAACUUAUGCAGAAAUCCAGCAUCAACAUUGUUUUCCAUUGGAGAGACAUGGCAGACCAGAUUCAGGUAUUGUCAAGAAAUGAAAAAUGCUUGUGAACUUUCCCUGGCCGAUCCAAGGUGUUGUAUUGCAUUUUAUGCCACUAAAACAGUAACAAUGAUAACAACAAACAAGCAUGCCUGUCAGGCACAUGUUAAUGCAAGUUGAAAUGACUGCUGUAUGCCUCUCUCCCUGUUAGAAAAGUGUGGAUAACUCACUGAAAAAGUUUUCUGAUGAUAGUACUGAUCUGAGAGAAAGAAUGUGGUAAAUUGAAAAGCUGAGAUUUUGGAUUAUGGCUGAGCACAGUUAUAAGUGUAGCAACUACCUGGAUUGGUUCACUGUCUUCUGGCUAGGUAAUUUCUGUGUUUUCUCAAGGUGUUAUGUUUCUAAUUGCAGGAUAUCUGAAUGCUGUACAAGGGUAACAAAUUUUAUCAUUCUUCGCAGAGCUCUGAAUGGUGGCAGUUGUGCACUACUUUUUAGAGUAGCUGCCUAAAGAUUCAUUGCAUCUGAUGAUAUAUUAUUCCUCAUUCUUUGCUCUUCUUGAGUUAAAAACCCCAAAGAGACACAGAUUUCUGGUUAAAUUUAGUGCUGAGAUAUUUCCCCAUUUGUUUUCAUUAAAAAUUCCCUGAUCCUUUUUUGACCCACUCAGAAUAUGAGCUCAGUGGAAAUGUUGGUGAACCCAGACUGAUCACUAAUGAGCUGGAGCUGACCUCUGCACUUCAUGGAGAUGAAUUUUAUCUUGCAUUUAUUCAAUUAUAACCAGAACCUUGAAAAAAAAUGGGGUCUAGUCCACAGAUAACUGAAGGCAAUAAAACUUUUAAACAUAUUUUGAAAGUCCUUGGAUGAAUUUAUUGUUUAUGCCCCUUGCAUGUGGAUUCUCACUGAAAUCUGAAAUUCAAGCCCUAGAAAUAAAAGGUCAGUAUUCUAAAAAGAAAAGAAAGACAUAAUUAUUAUGUGCAAUUGAAGAAAAAGUAUUUUGAAUGGGUAAAGGUUAUAUCUGGGCUUAUAACAGAUCCAUUUUUCACUGUUUAUCUAGACCUGCCAGUGUAACCUGAAACACUCCUGUGAGAUCAUCAGAUGGAAGAUUUAUAGCUAGCUGGGAUUCAUUUAAUCUGACUGAAGAAAACCAAAGUCUACGAGAACUUCUACAGGAGAUCUGGUUCUUACUGGUAUCAGUGUCCUGGUUUCUGUGUGAUUGAUGCUGCCCUGAUUAUAUACCAUACUAGGGAGGUAACUCUCAGAUGCCACCAGCCCCAUCACCAUUACCUGGGAAGCUUACAUAGGCCGUGCUGGUCUUGCUCAGUCCAGAAGAUGGUAUCUGUCCUGAACAGCUUUGACAGAAACCGACAGCUUAGCAAACAGAUGAGAAGCCCAUGUGGCAAGAAUUUGGCAUGAAAACACACCCUAAGAAGGCAGACACAGCAUUGUGCUGUGUGGAGCUGAGAUGCAGUUAACACAGGCUGCCCCCUCUUGAUGGCAGCAUGAAUGCACUUUGCUGUCAAUGGUGGUUUUACUGCAUAACGAUAAAAAAUUGGGAGCAGCGUCCCCUGCACUGAGAGUGUGAUUCCCCUCUGGAAGGGAUAAUUAUGCAUGGGCUGUUUACUCCUGAUAAAACAGUUAAGUGAUAUCCAUGCCACUUGCAGAAAAGCCUAGAUUACGUGGGCUUUCCCUGUAAAAGCAUGCAGUAAUCAGGCAGAUCCACAUACCUUUUGUCCUUCACAACCGGGCAUGAAAGGACUAGAUGGCUAGAAGCUGUAUUUAUCUUCUUCAGCUGCUUUCUCUUCAGCUGCCUGUGCAGUUCCUGCAGUGCGAUAGGGUUUGAUGAAAUUACAAGGAUGUAAAUUUGACAAGGUAUUCCCAUGUCUGUUGGGAUGCAGACAGUUUUAUGAGUUUUCCAGAGUUGCAAGGCAUUUAAUUGGGCAGGCAUAGCUCCCAGGAGAAGGUAUUUUUAGUUCUGUUGAGUAAUAUACUACCUCCACUGGUCAGAUUUAUACCAUACUCAAGCUAUCUGAACUGUCAUGCUUUUCUCUUGCGUUAUUGUUAACUGCAUGACAGAUCACACUGCAUUUGUCCGAAGUAUAGCAGCACAUGUGCAUCACCUUGGCAUCCGUCUCUGGCUUAUUAUUGUACAUCUGUUGGUUGUCAUUCAGAGCUCUUUCACACUUAAAUGCAUGUACUCACCAGGAGCUAAUCACCAAAGCUUGCCCACAGUGCCAUUCUAAAGAUGGAAAUCUUUGGAUGGGAUACCCUUCCAAACAGAUUAUUGGCCAUAUUGCCAUGAGGACAAUCUCACAAGGAAAACGUCUCCUUUGAUUACUCUGCAUGACUUCCCCUUUAAUGCAAUUUUUAACUGUCACUUUCAAACUUUUUUGCACCUCUUCCUGUAACAUCCCAUCUUUGACAUUUUUCUCCAAGCACCAAAUCUUGUAAAGGUCUCACAACAUCUGAACUUCUCUGUUACAUCAUGGAAGUACAUGCUUUAAAGAAGCCAUUCAUAAUUAAACCCUGCUUUUUCACAUCUUCUGUACAUACAACUGUAACAGUUCUUAGUUCCUAGUUCCUAGUUUUCUAGGUGGAUUCUAGAGUCUGGGUUUUUAAACUAAUAUAAUGCUGGAUCCUUCCUAAAUUCACAAAGGUCUCUGCCAAACAGGGAGACCUUGUAACAAUCCUUCCUUAAUCCACUCCUCCUACCUAGCAUUUUCAGAUGUGUAUUUUUUAUUCAGACUACCUUCCAAAUUUUAAAAACUCAUGAUUAGAUUUUUUAAUGCCUGAUUCAUCUAUUUUGAGAGAAAAUCCUAAGCUGAAUACUUCUUUAUGAAUUGCAAAUAACAUUUUCAUUGACUUUUUUUCACCCGUGAUGCUUACAAUUCUUUUAACUGGAAUAAAUAUUCUAGCAGAAAAUGAACUGCAAGGAACAGAUUUUUUGAUGUAAAAUGAAAGGAUCUAUUGCUUCAUGGAAGUUUCUUCUUGAAAACAGAAUGUGAAAAUGAAGACAGUUUUUUUUCCAUAAAGAAAGGCAACCUUCACUGUCUGAACUUAAUCACAGUCUUCAGUUUGGAAUAUAUUCUUCAUUCCAUGUUUUUUAAAUCAAUUCACAGCAUCAUAAAGCUUCCCUAAUAUAUUGACACUCCCUCCAAUAUUUUACUCAGUCAGAUGACCAAAUUCCACUUAAAUUAAUAGCAGCUCAAAGCCAAUCAAAUACAGUAGAUUUUCUUUCUACAUGUGAUUACACUAUGGGAGUCAGGAGAUAAUUGACUGCAAAAAAAUACAAAAUUUUGAAAGAAUUUUCCAACUUUAGGUACAAUUGAACUUGGAACAACUAUUCUAAAUAUUUAUGCUAUGCUUGAAGUUAUCUGGAAUGCUACUGAAGAGUUUCUAAAAGAUUUUCAGUCUGACAUUGACUCCCUUUAUGUAGUAAUAAAGACCUAAUUUUAAUUAUAACAUUGUGACUCAUUCUGGUUGGGCAAAGGA